AUUGAACGCUGGCGGCAUGCCUUACACAUGCAAGUCGAACGGCAGCGGACCUUCGGGUGCCGGCGAGUGGCGAACGGGUGAGUAAUAUAUCGGAACGUACCUUUCAGUGGGGGAUAACGUAGCGAAAGUUACGCUAAUACCGCAUAUUCUGUGAGCAGGAAAGCAGGGGAUCGCAAGACCUUGCGCUGAUUGAGCGGCCGAUAUCAGAUUAGCUAGUUGGUGAGGUAAAGGCUCACCAAGGCGACGAUCUGUAGCGGGUCUGAGAGGAUGAUCCGCCACACUGGAACUGAGACACGGUCCAGACUCCUACGGGAGGCAGCAGUGGGGAAUUUUGGACAAUGGCGCAAGCCUGAUCCAGCCAUGCCGCGUGAGCGAAGAAGGCCUCGU
rnacentral:rRNA from 1 species